UCGGCAAUGGAUAUCUUGGCUCUCGCAUCGAUGAAGAGCGCAGCGAAAUGCGAUACGUGGUGCGAAUUGCAGAAUCCCGUGAACCAUCGAGUUUUUGAACGCAAGUUGCGCCUGAGGCCAGCUGGCUGAGGGCACGUCCGCCUGGGCGUCAAG
rnacentral:rRNA from 3 species